UAACCGGCCCUUUUCAGGGCCACCAAACUAUUAAACGUUGGGGCUA
rfam:Trichomalopsis sarcophagae strain Alberta scaffold1411, whole genome shotgun sequence.